rnacentral:lncRNA from 1 species
UGGGGAGGAGGGCAGAGCAUCCGUGCUAUCAUUCAGACAAUUCCCAAAUACAUGUUGUUGUAUAAGGGGAAGGCAGCUGAACUGUGCUGCCUGUAUUCACAUCAAGACAAGAUUAUGAUAUGGUCUUCAUAUAUUUCAAGACAUAUGAGCACUGUGCUUUUCUCCUGGGAGUGCUUAUUGACCAAAUACAGAUCAAAAGAUACUUAACAAGCAGCGUUUCUCUUUUGCAGUUCUUCUCC